UCAAGCUACUAAGGGCAAUUGGUGGAUGAUUAGGCGCUUAGAGGCGAUGAAGGACGUGGUAAGCUGCGAUAAGCUUCGGGGAGCCGCAAACAGGCUUUGAUCCGGAGAUGUCCGAAUGGGGCAACCCCUUCCGAAUCAUCGGAAGAUCCUUUUCUGAAUACAUAGGAAAAGGAAGCGAGACGGGGUGAAGUGAAACAUCUCAGUAACCCCAGGAGUAGAAAGAAAUUCGAUUCCGUCAGUAGCGGCGAGCGAAAUCGGAAUAGCCCAAACCCGAAAGAUGCCAAGUCUUGGAGCGUUGUCUUUCGGGGGUCGUGGGGCAUUGACGGUCCCGAUCCAAGUCGGGACGGGAAGAAAUCUCACCGAAUUUUAGCCAAAGGGCCUGGAACGGCCCACCCAAGAGGGUGAUAGUCCCGUAGGUAAAAAAAUUCGGUGCUUCUCGGUUAGUGUCCCCAAGUAUCCCGCGAUAAGUGAAACCGCUGGAGAAUUUGGGAGAACCAUCUCCUAAGGCUAAAUACGGCUAAGCGACCGAUAGUGAACAAGUACCGUGAGGGAAAAUCGAAAAGAACCGGGGUAACCGGAGUGAAAUAGAACCUGAAACCAAUCUGCCUACUGGCGGUCGGAGCUCGGCGCAAGCUGAGUGACGGCGUGCCUUUUGCAUAAUGAUCCGGCGACUGAUUCGAUGCGGCAAGGUUAAGCACCGUGGGGUGUGGAGCCGUAGCGAAAGCGAGUCCGAAAUGGGCGUCUAAGUCUCAUCGAAUCGACCCGAAGCGGAGUGAGCUAGCCAUGGCCAGGAUGAAGCGUGGGUAACACCACGUGGAGGUCCGGACCGGUGUAGGUUGAAAACUGCUCGGAUGAGCUGUGGCUAGGGGUGAAAAGCCAAUCGAACUCCGUGAUAGCUGGUUCUCCUCGAAAUGUAUUUAGGUACAGCCUGGAGAAGUAACGGAUGGAGGUAGAGGACUCGUUGGGCUAAGGGGCUUACCAGCCUGCUGAACCCAGGGAAACUCCGAAUGCCAUCCGCGUAAUCUCUGGAGUGAGUCGGUGAGGGAUAAGCUUCAUCGUCGAGAGGGAAACAACCCAGACCGCCGGCUAAGGUCCCUAAAUGGAAACUAAGUGGUAAAGGAUGUGAGAACGCAUAGACAACUGGGAUGUUGGCUUAGAGGCAGCCACCAUUUAAAGAGUGCGUAACAGCUCACCAGUCAAGUGUUCUCGCGCCGAAAAUGAUCGGGGCUUAAGUUUCCUACCGAAGCCGCGGACUUCAAGUUCUCUUCGGAGCAACUUGGAGUGGUAGAGGAGCGUUCCCAAUGCACUGAAGCGGAAGCGACAAGCAACCGUGGAGCGUUGGAAAGUGAUUAUGCCGGAAUGAGUAGCGAUAAAACAGGUGUAAAACCUGUUCGCCGUAAGCCCAAGGUUUCCCGGGGAAGGUUAAUCCGCCCGGGGUUAGUCGGUCCUAAGUCAAGGCCGAAGAGGCGUAGAUGAUGGACAGCAGGCAAAUAUUCCUGCACCACCGACUUUGCGUUAUGAAUCUGGAAAGUUCCCAGGAGGCUGCGUGAUCGCGCGAUUGGAUGUGCGCGUCCAAACCUGUAGCUGUCCCGUAAGGGAUGGUAAGGGGUGUUAGGGAGUCCGACUGAAAGGAAGGACGAACUCACGAAUGCCACGCUGGCGAGAAAAGCUUUUCAGGUCAGUGGAGUCGGUGACCGUACCGUAAACGGACACACGUGGGCGAGGAGAAAAUCCUAAGGCGCUCGAGAGAAUCCUCUCUAAGGAACUCGGCAAAAUAGCCCCGUACCUUCGGAAGAAGGGGUGCCUGAGUAGGGUGACUGUCAAGGAAGCCCGAAAAGGUCGCAGUGAAAGGGGCCUAGCGACUGUUUAACAAAAACACAGCUCUCUGCAAAGUCGACAAGACGACGUAUAGGGAGUGACACGUGCCCGGUGCCGGAAGGUCAAGCGGAGGUGUCAGCCGCAAGGCGAAGCGCUGAAGUUAAGCCCCGGUGAACGGCGGCCGUAACUAUAACGGUCCUAAGGUAGCGAAAUUCCUUGUCGGGUAAGUUCCGACCUGCACGAAUCGUGUAACGACUAGGCCGCUGUCUCAGAGAGGAACUCGGUGAAAUUGUAGCAGCGGUGAAGAUGCCGCGACCCCGCGACUAGACGGAAAGACCCCGUGCACCUUUACUAUACCCUGGUAUUGGAUUCUGGUUUGACGUGUGUAGCAUAGCCGGGAGACGGUGAAGGUCCGCCGCUAGGUGGACCUGAGUCACAACAUGAAAUACCGGUCUCGUGGAACUAGGAUUCUAACCCCAUCCUGUGAAGCCAGGUGGGAGACAGUGCUAGGCGGGUAGUUUGACUGGGGCGGUCGCCUCCUAAAAUGUAACGGAGGCGUUCCAAGGUCAGCUUAGUGCGGUUGGCAAUCGCACGCGAAGGGCAAACCUAUAGAGCUGGCUUGACUGCGAGACCUACAAGUCGAGCAGGGACGAAAGUCGGAGUUAGUGAUCCGGCGGUUGAAAAUGGAAUCGCCGUCGCUCAUCGGACAAAAGGUACGCCGGGGAUAACAGGCUUAUCGGGUCCAAGAGUUCAUAUCGACGACCCGGUUUGGCACCUCGAUGUCGGCUCAUCGCAUCCUGGGGCUGAAGUAGGUCCCAAGGGUUCGGCUGUUCGCCGAUUAAAGCGGUACGUGAGCUGGGUUCAGAACGUCGUGAGAC
rnacentral:rRNA from 1 species